CGCGCAGGGGGCGCCAUUUUGUGAGCGGGGUGCGCAGGGCGGAGCUCAGUCGGUGCUCACGGGCUGCCUUUCACGGGCCUUGGCAGCUCCCUGCUGACUGGAAGGACCAGGAUUUUCAGUAAAAGGUGCCCAGGAGUAAUAAUGUAAAGAAUGAGAGCAGCACAUGAGCAGGAGCCAAGAUUCCCUCUUACAACCUGACUAGGAGUCCUUCCACUAACAGUCACCACGACGGAGCAUUUAUUCACUCCCUGAAGCUUGCCUUGGUGGAAAAAAGCGUUGAGAAUUAAGUCCUGAAUUAUCGUAAUUCUAAAUUUCUCCCUGGCUCCAAAACAAAACACGAGCAGCAGUAGAUCGACACUGCUGGUGAAACGGCAAGACGAGCACUGCAGUAUAGUCUUCUCCUUUUUGCUGAUUCCUCAGAUGAACACAUCAUCCUCCUCAAAAUGCAAGAAUCAUCUACAAGCUCAAGCUGGUGGCUGCUGCAGCACAGGACCUGCUUGUGCUGGGGUGAAGGGUUGGGAAAACAAAGGUGGGGGAUGUGGAAGGAAGAAGGAUGAUGCUGGGAUGCUCUCAAAGAUGAUAUGUAUCUAUCACUCAGUUACUCUCUAACAUGCACGUUGGCUCUAGUCAAGGGCUGCAAACAGGCUGUAAUAAUCUCUUCUAGCCCUCCUCUAUAGUACAGUGGUUUCAUAUUUUAAACUAGUCACAUAAUACCCAAAAUACUUGAUGUUGCUGUGGCUAGACUGCCUUUGGUCCACACUAGCUAGGACAACUCUACGUAGUAUACUAUAGGGCAUAAUUUUUCUCUGGGUUGCACCAGAUAGAAGCAUUUGCAUCACCUGAAGGCAGCAUGUUUUCCUGUGGGUCUUUUUUAACCUAAAAGAUUCUAUAAAUACAUUCACAACCAUUUCUCUGCAAAGGCUCGAAGAGCAUGUUUUUAAAAAAAUAAAAUUCCAAAAUUUAUAGCUUCAGAAAAUACUUAAAAUACUUGUAAGGAAAGGUUGUAGCAAACCAGGCCAUCACUGCAAAAUCAUCUCAGAAAAAGCAGGUAAACCUUUUCUUUCAUACAUUUCCAUUUGGCCAAGAACACAAUCAAACUGGCAUCGUGAUGGAGCAGGGAGUGGUGGGGUGGGUCUUGGGUCCAGAUCUGUGGUGCCAGUGCUGUCAGGCAGAUGUAGUCAGUGUGAGAUGAAACAGCUCCCAGCUCAGCUGAUUAGCUUAGAGACCAGAGAUCCUUCAGAGAAUGGGCUGCUGCUCAGAACUCCUCUUGUUCCCUGUGAAGCAUACAACAAGGCUGACCCCUUAAGCAAACCAGAGCCUGUGUGCAGAGCUUACCUGUGGCUUUGCUCUCACCAGCAAUGUUACAUAGCAGUCCUUUGUGCAAAAGGAAGAUUUCCAUUUGAUGUCUGUCAAGGUAGCAGGGCUUACCUUUGCAUACCAGAAACACAGAAAUUGCUCUGUAUUAUACACCUUUCAGAAUAUGAAAGUCUCCUAUCUUGAAUUUAGUGGUGCUUCUAGCCUAUGUUAGACAACAUCUGAAAGGGACAGGAAAGACAGGAUCCUGCAGUGCACCAUCCUGACCACUCUGAAGAACAAAAUGGGCUCAUGCUGGUCAUCUGUCUCCGCCAAGAACCAGAUGUGGGACCACAGCAACACCAGCAAUAACACAGUACUCCUCCAGGGUAUUGGGGAAGUUGAGUUGAUUUGCUUCACUAUAAAAUGUGCAAUUGCAAAAAAUUAACUUUGGUCCCUCCAAUGUGCCCAAUGUACCUGCAGUAGGAUGGAGCACAGGUGGCUUACUUACUUUGUCUUGUACUUCUGCUAUCUAUUCCUUGCUGAGAGUAGGUUUGACUGCUGACAGUCCUCAGGACCACCCUGUGGACAGGCCACAGAUUUAGGACCUCAUGUUACAGCAGCCAAACAUGUGGUGUAUUAUUUAUAAAAUGAAGUCCAUUACUAGAAGUAAAAGUGAUCGAUAAGAGCAAAUAAAGCAGGAACCCAUACUUUCUAUAUACUGAGGGUUUUUUUAAAGCUAGAUGUUUCCUUUGUCCGCUCCAGUAGCUCCUUAGUAAUAUUUUCAUAUGGUACUGAAAAAAAAAUCCUUCCCUUACCAUUUUCUUUCCCCCCCACCAUGCAGUAACAAAAUCAGCAGGUAAAGCUGACACUUUUCAAGACAGCGUGCCUUUCACUUGGCCCAGUCUGUGAAGGACACUUUGCUGCACAGAUGUGUAACUUAGAACCAGCCCUGAGCAAUCUCAAAGCCACAGAAGAAUAAAAAAGUAAAAUAAAAAAGCAGCAUCUACUGAAAGCAAGCAUUGAGAGUGGCAGCUCAGACAACUCAUACGUCUUCUGCCAUAAUGUACAAAGAAAUUCCUUUUGUUAACAUUAAUAUUUGGCAGCUGUUACCGAGUGCACAAGGACAUUUUAGUUGGGUUUUAAAGAAAGAAAUUGACAAAGAAAGAAGGCAAUGAUUUUUUUUUUUUUUUAAUAGAGGAUCUCUCUGGGGGUUUGUGUUCAUAUCACCAAUAUUCACUUUAUUACAUUUUAUGGAAUGGAGUUUAAAUGCCAGUAUAUACAAGCCAACAUUUCAUUAUUAGAGUUUGUGUUUAUUCACUUGCCACUGUUAAGUCUGUUCCCCUUUGUCUUUUUGUGCUGCUCUUUGUAAAAUGUAUGAUUUAUGAAUAUGUGGCUUAGAUCCUUGACAAUAUAGCGUGGUGAGGUGGUUCAAUAAAAAGUUAUUAAAGUUAAAAAAA